rnacentral:rRNA from 1 species
CACGGAGUUAGCCGGAGCUUAUUCUCCAGGUACUGUCAUUAUCAUCCCUGGUAAAAGAGCUUUACAACCCUAAGGCCUUCAUCACUCACGCGGCAUUGCUGGAUCAGGCUUUCGCCCAUUGUCCAAUAUUCCCCACUGCUGCCUCCCGUAGGACGUCUGGGCCGUGUCUCAGUCCCAGUGUGGCUGAUCAUCCUCUCAGACCAGCUAAGGAUCGUCGGCUUGGUAGGCCUUUACCCCACCAACUACCUAAUCCUACGCGGGCUCAUCCUUUGCCGAUAAAUCUUUGGUCUUACGACAUCAUCCGGUAUUAGCAGUCAUUUCUAACUGUUAUUCCGAAGCAAAGGGCAGAUUCCCACGCGUUACGCACCCGUGCGCCACUAGACCCGAAGGUCUCGUUCGACCUGCAUGUGUUAGGCAUGCCGCCAGCGUCGUUCUGAGCCAGGAUCAAACUC